AGAGCGAACUUGUAGCCAAUAAUGAUUUGCCGGCUUUGUAGUGCAGCAAAGGGCUUCACAUUAGAUGGCCGGCAAGUUAUUCUUGGCGACAUUUUACUCUCU
rnacentral:pre_miRNA from 1 species